rnacentral:rRNA from 1 species
UAACACAUGCAAGUCGAACGGUCUACCCCAACAGAAACCUUCGGGUUGAAGAUGGGAUUUAGAUAGUGGCGGACGGGUGAGUAACACGUGGAUAACCUGUCCUUAAGACUGGGAUAACCUGGCGAAAGUCGGGCUAAUCCCGGGUAAGCUGAGAGUGUGGCAUCACACAAUCAGAAAAGGUGGCUUUAGUGCCAUCGUUUAAGGAGGGGUCCGCGGUAGAUUAGCUAGCUGGUGAGGUAAAAGCUCACCAGGGCGACAAUCUAUAGCUGGUCUGAGAGGACGAUCAGUCACACUGGAACUGAGACACGGUCCAGACUCCUACGGGAGGCAGCAGUGGGGAAUCUUCCACAAUGGGCGCAUCGCCCGCCGCGCCCCGC